UGCUUUGACUUUGCCUGAACCUUAGUACAACUUUGUUUAUUUCGAAGACCAUUGGUUAAAACACGGUUGGCAUCCUUAGAACUUAUAAAAGAUGAAGACGAUGAUGAUAUUGUGUUUGUUCGUAGCCAUCUCCAUGGUUAUGGCAGAUGAUUACUAUGGUCAAGAUAAUCCCAAUUUUUAUCAACAUGAACCAAUACAGAAAUCCAAACACGUGGUAAUCAAGCCCUGUCUGGAUUAUGGAUUAUUCGAAGAUCCCAACGACUGUGGUGCUUUCUUCCAAUGUUCGCCAGCAGGUUUGGUUCGUAUCAAGUGCGCUAAAGGAACCCUUUUUGACAGAAAUAUUAAAAGAUGUAACACCAAGGAAUUUGUCUCAUGUUACAGCGGCGUCAGUUGUCCACAUCAAUAUGGCCUCUUCCCUGAUCCCAGAUUCUGUAACAAGUUCCUGAAUUGUUUCAAGAAUAUCCCCUACGUUCAAGCUUGUCCAGCUGGUCUGGUGUUUAAUGCUAUUGCUCCUGGUAAAGGUUUCUGUGAUUACCCUAAAUAUGUCUAUUGUGGAGGUAAAGAGAUCGCUGUAAUCAAAGUCCACAAACCAGUCAUUAAACACCCAGGUUACAUCCCAGUUGAGCACCCAGUCUACACCCCAGUUGAACGACCAGUCCAUACCAAAGUUCACAAGGAACCUAAGAAUUAUAACCCUAUAGAUAAUUCACGUGACUAUGCUGAAUACAGACGAAGCAAGCAAGUUGAGCACCCCGUCUACACCCCGGUUGUUAAGGAGACAGUCUACACCCCAGUUGUUAAGGAGACAGUCUACACUCGCUCUAAUUACGACAGCGAUGAAUCCAAAUAAUUUCAUUUACUAAUAUUUUUAAUUUAUUAAGGAAUUGAAUUGUUUGUCAAUGUCUAACAUUUAUGUCUAUUUAUUUGAAUAUUUUAUAGGAUUUUCUUUCUUCUCUAGUUCUGGACAUUAAUUUAUAAUUAUCCUGAUCUAUAUUUGUUAACAUUAUAUAAAUGUAUAAUUAUCCUGGUCUAUGUUUGUUAACAUUAUAUAAAUGUAUAAUAAUUAUCCUGGUCUAUGUUUGCUUACAUUAAAUAUAUAUGUAUAAUUCGAUGCCCUAGUUCUGAAAGGUUGUAAGUGCCACUUAUGACCCAAAUAGCUUGAGGAUCACUAAUCACAUUGGGGGGCUUCUCUAUGCAAAUUUCAGAAGUGUAAGAUCGUAACUUCCACAUAAAACAGCUUUUAAAAAUGUUGAUAUCCUAACUGGGUUAUUAAGAUUGGAUUAGGUUUUUCUCUCAUAUCGUAAAACCUAAAUCCGACAUAC